rnacentral:rRNA from 1 species
GACGAACGCUGGCGGCGUGCUUAACACAUGCAAGUCGAACGGAAAGGCCCUGCUUUUGUGGGGUGCUCGAGUGGCGAACGGGUGAGUAACACGUGAGUAACCUGCCCUUGACUUUGGGAUAACUUCAGGAAACUGGGGCUAAUACCGGAUAGGAGCUCCUGCUGCAUGGUGGGGGUUGGAAAGUUUCGGCGGUUGGGGAUGGACUCGCGGCUUAUCGGCUUGUUGGUGGGGUAGUGGCUUACCAAGGCUUUGACGGGUAGCCGGCCUGAGAGGGUGACCGGCCACAUUGGGACUGAGAUACGGCCCAGACUCCUACGGGAGGCAGCAGUGGGGAAUAUUGCACAAAGGGCGGAAGCCUGAUGCAGCAACGCCGCGUGCGGGAUGACGGCCUUCGGGUUGUAAACCGCUUUCGCCUGUGACGAAGCGUGAGUGACGGUAAUGGGUAAAGAAGCACCGGCUAACUACGUG